rnacentral:lncRNA from 11 species
CGACGCCACAUGCCUAUAUAAGAGGAUCGCUCGGCGUGGCUCAACGCAUUUGUAAAUCAGUUUCCAGAGCAGUCAGAAGUGGCGUUCAAAGUGUGCAGUAGUGUGAAAAUUUCUUCCUCCACUAUGUUUAUAGUUAAUUCAUCAUCAUUUCUUGGCAAUAAUACCAUUAUUGCAAUAUCAUCCACGAAAUUGAAAAUUCUCCAUUUCACCAAAGAAGACACAUGAAUUUUCAAGAAUGAAAUUAUUGAAGAAAGAAAAAAAGAAUGGCUCGACGCAUUCAUAAAGAAAUUUUCGGUUCGGAUGCAGCGAAUAUUCAAUUCCACCGACUGAUCAUAUUUCUUCUAUUAUUGCGAUCUACGACAACAUGACAUGAAAACAGACGAAUGGAUUGCGAAGUUGGACUAUUUACGUGCACCCUACGGGGUCGGUGCUUGAACGCAACUAUAAUAUGGUCUGAUUAGAGUUUGAAAUUUCUUCAUACAUUUUGAACUAUUUGAGAAGAGCAUCUCGAGAUAUAUUAGGUAAGCGGUUAUUGAACCGAUGUCUUUCUUAUUGUUCUACAAUCUUAACGUUAAUAUAAGAUCAGAAAAUUAACAUUUAGGGCUCACAGUGUCGCUACUUAAUUAUUUAAUGCAAAAUAAUAUAAAUAUAAAUCAUAUUAUAUGUUAAAAAUAAUAUUUUAAAUUGAAUGUAUAAAUUUUGAAAUAUAUCACAUUUCAAAGAAUUCUUUUUAAAUCAAAAUGAUCGUAGCGUCACUUUAGCCUUUAUCCUAGUUUAGUUACAAAUCAGUUAUCUAAAAUAUCGUUUUUUAUUUCCUCUAUGUUAAAUAGAAUUUAAUGUAUUUUCACGAUGUCUGCUCACUUCUGAGAGAAUCGUAAAGUACCGACUGUUUAAAAUAUGUUGAUGAGGAGCACUCGUUAGUUUUAAAUUUUAUCGAUUUUUAACUUUAUUUUUUAAAUUUCGUCCGUUUAUUACUUUACUGUAACUUCUUUAAUAAAUAUUCGAUCAAAUAAUAUAUUAACUUAUCUCGAAUUAUCGAAGUUGAAAUCGAUAAAUGCAAAUUGAUAUUUCUACGAAUGUGCCUCAUCCACGUGAAAAUCUUUAAUUCAACGUGACGUUCUUUUUAUAGUUUAGAGCAGACUCGUAGUUAGAGGUCGAGAAUAAAUUAUGGGCACCAUCUUGUCUAAACCAAUACUCUACUACAAAGGCAUACGGAAUUUGGGAAUUGAGAAAAAAAAGUACAGAAUCAAAUAGAACAGGAAAUGAAAAAAAAAAGACGAUUUUGCGGUUAAAAAUAUCCAAUAUAAAUAAUUAAAUAUACAAUUUCGAAAUACGAUUGAAGAUCUUCCGGUUUUAUGAUUGGAAACGUACGGUAGCCUGUUUUUUCUUCAUUUAGAAAAAAAGUUAAAUAAAAAGACAAAAUUCUAUAACGACGAAUCAUUUUGUUCCGUGGUGUCACGAAUCUAAAAAUAAAUGAAUUUUUAUGAAACUGGGUAGAUAUAAUAAAAUAAAAUGAAGAUA